AUCGAACGCUGGCGGCAGGCCUAACACAUGCAAGUCGAACGAGUGGCGGACGGGUGAGGAAUGUCUGGGAAACUGCCUGAUGGAGGGGGAUAAAUACUGGAAACGGUAGAUAAUACCGCAAACCAUCAGAUGUGCCCGGAUGGGAUUAGCUAGCUGGUGGGGAAACGGCUACCCAAGGAGACGAUCCCUAGCUGGUCUGAGAGGAUGACCAGCCACACUGGAACUGAGACAUGGUCCAGACUCCUACGGGAGGCAGCAGUGGGGAAUAUUGCACAAUGGGCGCAAGCCUGAUGCAGCCAUGCCGCGUGUGUGAAGAAGGCCUUCGGAUUGUAAAGUCCUUUCAGCGGGGAGGCGUUACCCGCAGAAGAAGCACCGGCUAACUCCGUGCCAGCAGCCGCGGUAAUAC
rnacentral:rRNA from 1 species